rnacentral:lncRNA from 1 species
UUCCUAUGAAUUUUAAUUUCUUCCUUUUGAAACAGGAGAUGAUUUUUCUCCCCAGGAUGAAUGGAGAAAUAAAUAUGAUGUAUGCAAACUACUAUAUCCACAGCCUUGGCACCACAGUUCUUCAUAAACUCAAAUUCCCAUUCUGCCUUCCAGAGCCAUAAAGAAAGCAAGGAGAAAGUGGAAGAGGCAGAUUCUUUGCUGUUGGACAAGAAGUGAACCAUUAAUGUGUAAGCGAACUGAACACCUACUGGAAUUACACACUCAAACGAUUCCCUUUUCAUCCAUGUGUCUUUUAGUCCAGAAAGCACAACCCAGGAGAAGAGUUCUCAUUAUCUUCCCUUUGGCAUCACCCUGAGGCUAUGCUGGGGAAUGAGAGGAAGCCCUAGGUCAGGGAGAAGGAAGAGGAAAAGCUCAGGAUGACUGGAGGUUCCACUUGAGAAGCUGCACAGAUGCAUAGAUCUCCCUGAGAAUCUGUCCUUAAAGCUUUGUUGCAAUUACAAGGAUGCCUAUAAAAAGAUUAUUUGGAAGUCUUUGGAGUGUCCAUGACCACAAAGCUGAGGCCCAGGCUCAGAAGUAGCAGCUGUGCAAACUGUGAUGUCUAGUACAUACAAGAGGCAGCAGUGGGACCAUCAUCAGAUGAACUCUGUGUUUACUGGACAUCAUUCACAGAAGCCGAGAAUUGGAUCAAGAGAUGCACAAUUGACAGAGAAGAAAAAUGAGAGCCAGGAAUGGAUUGGGGUGACUCCACACAUAUCACAGAAAUCUUCAACCGGAACUGGUAACACGGCCCAUGCAUCCUAGAAGGUCAAUGUGCAUCUUCACUUUUAAUUCAUCCACCUGCCUCUCAUUCCAGAACUGUGGUCACCUCAUGUGGCUGAGUCACACUGACCUUCUCUUGCUAAGUUUUCCCUCUGCUCGUGGCCUUUUCAGUUAGCAUUCCCUCUGCUUAGGAUUCUCUCUUCCUACUUCUUUCCAUGAUUAACCCCUUCUCACCUUUCACUUUCAGACUGAAAUAUUGUGAGCUAACAGAACACUUCUCAGAUUGUUAUAGAAAUUUUGUGAUUUUCCUACCUCCCAUUUCCUGCAUUACACCAAUCGUAUAAUGGAAUUUAUUAGUUUUAUAAUAUAAUAUCAAUUUGCUUGAUUG